GACGUCCGAGGAUUUUGGGCGUCUCCAAACAAGUUGGAACCUAUGGGCAGAAUUGAGGAAGGAUGGGGUCCAACUGAGGAGGGAUGAGCAUGAAUCUUUGGCCUUUCUCUUGACAAUGGCUAGGUCCCCUCAAAAAGUGGAUAUUACCAAGGCAGUGAGGAAUGUUGCUUUGUCUUGGCAGAGUCAUAUCCAAGCGAGCCAGACUCGGGGUCCUAACCUACCCAGCAUUCCCAGUCUUUGUAGAGGGCACUUCCCUGGCUAGAGAUCAAGCUAUUUUUC
rnacentral:lncRNA from 1 species